CAGUUGCUUCGGCUUUGCUGAUAGCAUCCGUGUUUUUUGAGCACCUUUUGUUUCCUCGGCGGGCUUGCCCGCCAACGGGGACCCCUUUUAAACUCAUUGUAAGCACAGUAACGUCUGAAAAUACACUUAAUUAUUA
rnacentral:misc_RNA from 1 species